UCCCCUCUGGCACCAAGUGCCCCGCAUGUGCUGGGAAUGACCUGCUCUGGGGGUAUUGUCAGGGUGUAAUGCAACAUCCUAGAGUGAGCUCAGGGAGGAUGGAAACCUCCUGUGGAGCUGAAGGGCAAAAAGCUUGCUUGAUCUCAAUUUUCAGUAUGAAUACAGAGCAUGAAAGUGAGGCCCCACAGUUCUUCUGGCUUUUUGGAUUUUAAGCAGGAGGGAUCAGAAAAGUUAUCACAGGGAUUACUGGCUUGUGGUGGCCAAGCAUUUGUAGCAACGUUACUUUUUGAGCCUUGGAUGUUGGCUCUUCCUAUCAUUGUGAAGAGGAAUUCCACAACUGUUGGAUUGUUUGCUCACUAAUAGGGAACGUGAGCUGGCAUUACACUGUUGGGAUUAGACUAUCGAGGGACAGCUUAGUUUUACACUCUGAUGAUGUCUUGUUGCAAUAGUAAUCCUGCUCAGUACAAGAGGAACUGCAGAUUCAGAUCCCUGGUGCUUGCACUUGGCUGAGGAGCUGCUGGCAUGAGGUUACCAUCUGUGGGCUUAUGACUGUAUGCCUCUAAGCUAGAAUCUCACCUGGACAUAGCAAUUUGGCAGUGUGGGGGGUGCC
rnacentral:ncRNA from 1 species